rnacentral:rRNA from 1 species
UACGUAGGUGGCAAGCGUUGUCCGGAAUUAUUGGGCGUAAAGCGCGCGCAGGCGGUUUCUUAAGUCUGAUGUGAAAGCCCCCGGCUCAACCGGGGAGGGUCAUUGGAAACUGGGAAACUUGAGUGCAGAAGAGGAAAGUGGAAUUCCAAGUGUAGCGGUGAAAUGCGCAGAUAUCAGGAGGAACACCGAUGGCGAAGGCAGCUCGCUGGGACGGUACUGACGCUGAGACGCGAAAGCGUGGGGAGCAAACAGG